rnacentral:tRNA from 1 species
ACAGUGGUAGUUCAGUGAUAGAAUUCUCAUCUUCUACAAGGGAGACCUGGGUUUGAUUCCCAGCAAAGGUA